rnacentral:rRNA from 1 species
UGGGGAAUAUUGGACAAUGGGCGAAAGCCUGAUCCAGCCAUGCCGCGUGUGUGAAGAAGGUCUUCGGAUUGUAAAGCACUUUAAGUUGGGAGGAAGGGCAGUAAGUUAAUACCUUGCUGUUUUGACGUUACCGACAGAAUAAGCACCGGCUAACUCUGUGCCAGCAGCCGCGGUAAUACAGAGGGUGCAAGCGUUAAUCGGAAUUACUGGGCGUAAAGCGCGCGUAGGUGGGUUGUUAAGUUGGAUGUGAAAGCCCCGGGCUCAACCUGGGAACUGCAUCCAAAACUGGCAAGCUAGAGUACGGUAGAGGGUGGUGGAAUUUCCUGUGUAGCGGUGAAAUGCGUAGAUAUAGGAAGGAACACCAGUGGCGAAGGCGACCACCUGGACUGAUACUGACACUGAGGUGCGAAAGCGUGGGGAGCAAACA